rnacentral:rRNA from 1 species
UACGAAGGGGGCUAGCGUUGCUCGGAAUCACUGGGCGUAAAGCGCACGUAGGCGGAUUGCUAAGUCAGGGGUGAAAUCCUGGAGCUCAACUCCAGAACUGCCCUUGAUACUGGCGGUCUCGAGUCCGGGAGAGGUGAGUGGAACUGCGAGUGUAGAGGUGAAAUUCGUGGAUAUUCGCAAGAACACCAGUGGCGAAGGCGGCUCACUGGCCCGGUACUGACGCUGAGGUGCGAAAGCGUGGGGAGCAAACGGG